UGAGGAACAUGACCUUCGGCGGGGGAUAGCCGGCCCAACGGCCGGGUAAUACCGCGUACGACCACAUGGGGACAUCCCUGAGUGGUGAAAGCAGCAAUGCGCCGAUGGAGUGCCUCGCGGCCUAUCAGCUAGUUGGUGAGGUAACGGCUCACCAAGGCAACGAUGCGUAGCCGACCUGAGAGGGUGAUCAGCCACAUUGGAACUGAGACACGGUCCAGAUCCCUACGGG
rnacentral:rRNA from 1 species